rnacentral:lncRNA from 1 species
AAGUCUGCCACAACAAACGGGAUGUAGAAAAGGAAAAAAAUACAAAAGAAAAAUUCACAGCAGAUUCACUGCAUCAUCUUCAUCCAUCACUGUCUUUCUCAGUGUCGAUGUCCAAAAAUGGCAGAUGGGUAGAAGCUUUGAUUAGAACUGCUCAUAUUCCUCUCUGUUGUAUUCAUUGUCUUCUCUUACCCCAUGUGCCUCUCUUCCCAUUCUCAACUACACUGAGUUAAUGUAUUCUCUGAAUUCCUCCCCUCUCUCUCUCUCUCUCUCUCUCUCUCUCUCUCAAGGGCUAUAAUACAAAUGUUUAUGUGGGUGGUUGGAGAUGAUUAAAUUAGAGCUCUCUAAAUACACUCUUUAUUGUGAUGUUUUAUGAAAGGUAAGUUUUUUGAAUGAACUGGGGAAAGAAAGAUAGAGAGAGUAUUUGUGAAUCAAAUGAGGUAUUGAUUUUUAAUAAACAAAAUUAUGUAAGAAGAAGAUGAAGAAAAGGAUAUUACAAACAGGGAUUAUUACAUUCAAGAAUUCCAGAUUCCAUUUAACAGACUACGGAAUUUAUUCGUGGACAAUUUCCUAACGAGUUUCUUAGCAUCAUAAACUUCAGCUUCUGCAAGUUUUUCAAUGUUUUUCAUAUACCCAGAAUUCACAAUCUUUCUUCUUCCACUACUGCUUCCUGUUAAUGAGUUUAAUAUUGAAAAGAGGAAUCUUUUGUUACCUGAAUUUCCUUCUUCUGUGUCGAGCAUUUGCAGAAGCAUCUCUAUAUUUCGAUUGUCCUGAGCAAAUCUCUUUCUGUUUUUAGGGAUCAUGACCAUUCCUGAGAGUGCCUCGGCUGCCAUUUCUCGAACUUCAUAGGAUUUUGCACCAAGAAAUUUGAUGAAUUCUGGCAUGAAACCACCAUCCC